rnacentral:misc_RNA from 1 species
GGUCAAGUCAUUUCCAGGGAAUGAUUAGAGUUUUGGUAAAGUGGAAGGAAUAAUGAAAAUCCUUUGUUGCAUUGGUUUGAUUUUUCCCCCAUUGGUAUGCUGAUAAAGCUAGGAUAGAGAAAAUAACUCUCAUUGCAAUUGGUAUGUUUUUAUGUUACUUUGAUCUAAAAUUCAGUUCAAGUGACCUGAUGUUGAGGACAGAUUUGAAUAGAUCAAAACAAAUGAAGACUCUUAAUAUUUAGAUUUUUCUUUUGUGGAUUUUUAUUUCUUCAUUUAGAUUCGGUAAAUAUGUUUAUUUCCUUAAGGAUGUUGAAAUUUUGGGUUAAUAAAUGUUGGAUAUUUUAUACUUGUUAGCAAUACUUGCAUGUUUAUUUGGGUUGAACCGAAAGAAGAACAGUGAGGAUGGAAGUAAGGAAUGCAAGAAUACGGAGGGAAAAUAUUAUCCAAUCUACAAAGUACAAUUUUGGUGAAGUUGUAUGUUAUACCUUAGACAUAUUUUCAAUCUCUAAGAAAAUCAUUUAAUUGUUUCAGUAUCACAUAACAUCUUUAAUUGGCUUUAUGAAUGCAAAUGAGGUUUAGGAAAAUAUAUGAUGGGUAGGAGACUGACAGAUAAACUUGAAUUAAGUUUAGAACUUAUUGCAAAGGUUUACUGGUGUUGCAUGAAAGGCAUCACUGUGGGGGACAUUUUAUAGGUUGCAGUUUCUUUUAAUGGUUGUUUUUGUGUCUAUAUUGUAGUGGAAGAGGUUCUUAAUCUUGUAUCCUCUGUAAAGAAACUGAAGGACGUGUUUGCAGUUCAAAAGAUUGAGGUAUUCUUUUGGUUGCAGGUCCUAUAGAAGGCUUUGGAGGUGUGGGAUUUACAAGUCAUUCCCUUAGCAGUCCAGUUGCGGAGCCUGCACAGAUUGACCAUGAUCUGGAAAAUGCAUUUAUUUGUCUUUUGCAAGAUCAUUGGUUCUGCAUAAGGAAAGUGAAUGCGGGGUGGUAUAACUUUUGACAGUCUUUAUGCUGCCCCACAGCACCUGUCUAAGUUUCACCUUGCGGUCUAUCUGGAUUCUCUUAAGAGCUCUGGCUGUAGCAUUUUUUUGGUGCGAGGAAACUUCCCAAAACAGUUUCUUAUCUCAUCAUCUGAAGCUUCAAAUGGUUAUGGGCAGUGGCUCUCCUGAAGAUGCCGAGAGGAUUACCAAAUCCUGUAACUCGACUUUGGGUUCUUGGAGAAUCAAUUCGACUCAACAACAUUCAGAGCCGGCUGAAGACAUGCUUACAGAAUUUGAAGAUGAAGAUGUGAAAGCUGCAAUAGCGGCCAGCUUGAUGGAUUCUUCCCAAGACAAGGCUAGGGUUGAAGUUGGCAGUACUGAAAAUGAUAAUAAAGAAGGGGAAG